AUUGAACGCUGGCGGAAUGCUUUACACAUGCAAGUCGAACGGCAGCACGGACUUCGGUCUGGUGGCGAGUGGCGAACGGGUGAGUAAUGUAUCGGAACGUGCCCAGUCGUGGGGGAUAACGUAAUGAAAAUCACGCUAAUACCGCAUACGAUCUAUGGAUGAAAGCGGGGGAUCGCAAGACCUCGCGCGAUUGGAGCGGCCGAUAUCAGAUUAGGUAGUUGGUGGGGUAAAGGCCCACCAAGCCAACGAUCUGUAGCUGGUCUGAGAGGACGACCAGCCACACUGGAACUGAGACACGGUCCAGACUCCUACGGGAGGCAGCAGUGGGGAAUUUUGGACAAUGGGCGAAAGCCUGAUCCAGCCAUUCCGCGUGCAGGAUGAAGGCCCUCGGGUUGUAAACUGCUUUUGUACAGAACGAAAAGGUUUCUACUAAUACUAGGAGCUCAUGACGGUACUGUAAGAAUAAGCACCGGCUAACUACGUGCCAGCCGCCGCAGUAA
rnacentral:rRNA from 1 species